CCCGGCCAAUCCAGCAAGAAGAAAAUGUCCUCAGCGCCGUUCCCGCUUCCCUCCGCAGCCUCCCUCGCUAAUCCACAGAAGUUACCUAACGCCGGGGGUACGGCGAGGAUUAGUUAAUGUUUGUGCAGCUUUUCCAAGAUAAAAGCUACGCGAGAUCUCAGCAUUUAUUAUUGAUGCACUAGUCAACGGUGCGAGGCUGUGUGUAUGUAGAGGGAAAAAUUCCUUCCCGAACCCUGCGGCGAUCACUUUACACGCCAAAGCAGGGGAUUGUGUUACGGCCUGGGAGCCCUGAAAACCGGCCUGGACCUUCACCAGUCCAAAAAAAUAAAAACCCCAAACGAGGAUACAGCUGGGAGGCUCCGAGCACUGCUGGCAGAGUCCAGGCGAUCCCUGCUCCUGGCAGGGAGCACUCUGACCUUCAGGGACGCGAGGGACUGCUGCUCACCGAGGCCAGCGCUGGCCUUCGAGCUGCUUUUUCCCCCCCAAGACGUGGCCCUGGCGGGUCCCUUACGGUAACACCUCGGCACACACCCUGCCUGUCCCCUCACCUGCCUGCUCUGCCCACCCAGCACGUACCGGGGAGGCAGCGGGGAUUAGGAAGCAGGCAUUUCCCAGUGCCAAUCCCAGCUUUACUACCGACCGGCUGCGUGACCUUGGGCAGGUCAUUUCACCUCCACAGCUCUUCCCCCACUCACAAGAACGCACGCAAAGUCCCUUCUUGCACCCGUGACCCGCCGCGUUUCCCAAGUGACUGUCCCACAGGGCUCUGCACACACCAGGGCUGGGCAGGGGAGGGUUUAGCAUUCCCAGUUUACAGACUGGGAAGACGAGGCCAUUCACACCUCCUCGGUCAGGUCAGGAAGGCACCAGCCGAGCUAAGAAUAGACCCAGGAGCCCCCGUCCCAACCAGCUGCUCCGCUCUGACCGCUCUUGGGUGGAGGAUCCAUUUUGUUUCUCGAUGUGUUAUUUUAACCGUUUACAGGAGCUACGGCAAAGCUCGGCUCCGCAAGUGGCCCUGCUCCCGCCAGCACUCGCGCCUCCAACCCCACGGAGAGGGCAUCC
rnacentral:lncRNA from 1 species